AAGACUAUACUUUCAGGGAUCAUCUCUAUAGUAUGUGACUAGAGAAGUCUUUGAUGAUGUAGAGCACCCGAAGCCACAAGGAGAAGCCAGAGUGUCCUCUCCUGAGCCUGAAGCCGGCUCUAGGUGUCGCUUCUGUGACUGCCUUUGGCCAUUGAUGAUCGUUCUCUUUCCUUUGGAAAGGGUAGAGGGAGAGGAUGCAGUCUGAGUGGU